UUUCCGUAGGUGAACCUGCGGAAGGAUCAUUCAUAAUAAAGUGUUUUAUGGCACUUUUAAAGAUCCAUAUCCACCUUGUGUGCAAUGUUAGAUCUCGUCAAUCUUGGCGAGAUUUUUAUACAUCAACUCAUUCUUUAACUAAUUUGUCUGAAAAAUAUUAUGAAUACUUAAUUCAAAAUACAACUUUCAACAACGGAUCUCUUGGCUCUC
rnacentral:misc_RNA from 1 species